rnacentral:rRNA from 1 species
AGAGUUUUUUCCUGGCUCAGGAUGAACGCUGGCGGCGUGCCUAACACAUGCAAGUCGAACGAAGCACCUUUUAAGAUUCUUCGGAUGAUUGAUCGGUGACUGAGUGGCGGACGGGUGAGUAACGCGUGGGUAACCUGCCCUGUACAGGGGGAUAACAGUUGGAAACGGCUGCUAAUACCGCAUAAGCGCACGAGAGGACAUCCUUUCGUGUGAAAAACUCCGGUGGUACAGGAUGGGCCCGCGUCUGAUUAGCUGGUUGGUAGGGUAACGGCCUACCAAGGCGACGAUCAGUAGCCGGUCUGAGAGGAUGAACGGCCACAUUGGAACUGAGACACGGUCCAAACUCCUACGGGAGGCAGCAGUGGGGAAUAUUGCACAAUGGGGGAAACCCUGAUGCAGCAACGCCGCGUGAGUGAAGAAGUAUUUCGGUAUGUAAAGCUCUAUCAGCAGGGAAGAUAAUGACGGUACCUGACUAAGAAGCUCCGGCUAAAUACGUGCCAGCAGCCGCGGUAAUACGUAUGGAGCAAGCGUUAUCCGGAUUUACUGGGUGUAAAGGGUGCGUAGGUGGCAGUGCAAGUCAGAUGUGAAAGGCCGGGGCUCAACCCCGGAGCUGCAUUUGAAACUGCAUAGCUAGAGUACAGGAGAGGCAGGCGGAAUUCCUAGUGUAGCGGUGAAAUGCGUAGAUAUUAGGAGGAACACCAGUGGCGAAGGCGGCCUGCUGGACUGUUACUGACACUGAGGCACGAAAGCGUGGGGAGCAAACAGGAUUAGAUACCCUGGUAGUCCACACUGUAAACGAUGA